CAUAAUUUCAUAAUAUAUUCUUUAAUAAUACUCUAAUUUAUUACAAAAAUACCUAAAAUACUAUAAAUAAAUAUUAUUUUACAACAUGCAAUAUGUAUAGGUACUAUAACUAUUUUAUUUCUAAAAUAAAGCAUUUGUACAAAAUAAUUACAAAAAUCUUAAAACUAAAUGUGGUUCUAAAUCCUUUGUGAAUUUAUUUUAAAUCAGUUAAUUUCAUUAUCGAUAACAAUAUUGUUAUUGUGAUCUACUAAUGACAUACCGUAAAACUGGUCUAUUUGAAAAUAGCGGGGUAACUUGAAAAUAAACGCAAUAACCUUUUUAAGUAAGUGCUGUCACUGAACGAUUCGCCCGAUUUAAUCGUAUCCAGUGCCACUUGAAAAGGCAUGCCUGCCCACGACUUAUCAUUGAUGUUUAUGCUCUCUGUGUUUACCUAACGAUUACGACGAUUUUUAAAAACCGUGUUUUUUAUCGAUUUUAACGAAACUCAGACACAAUAGGUUUUUAUUUAAUUUUGCUAUUUCAAGUAUCCCCUACAAAGGGCCUAUUUGAAAUACUACGUUUUUAAAGGCUUACUUUCAAGUAACCCCAUCGAAAGGCUACUUGAAAAUUAACAAUUAAUAUUUUUUUAAAUGGAGAAGUAAAAACACUUUUUAAUAAGGAAAAAUUAUCUAUAGACUAUUUCGACCAUCACAAUAAUUUUUAAUUUCAAAAAUACCUUUAACUUAUUUGGUGGCAGAACGAAGUUUCAAAAAAAUUUUAUCAAGUUUUACGAUACUGUACCUUUAUUUUCUCUAUAACAAAUAAAAAUUUAGCUAUUCAAAAAUAAUUAAAGCCACAGAAAGUUUCUCUUCAAAAAAAAAUAACAAAAGCAACAAAAAAAAAUAACAAAAGCAACAAAAAAAAGAAGGAAAUCCUGAUUAAAGUGUCAAUAGCACUUGAUUUUGAAUAGGAUGAAAACGAAUGAAUGAAGAUAGAUGGCCAAAGAAAGCUUUAUAUUACAUACCACAACAAAGAAGAAAAAGGGAAAUGCCUUCUGGGAAGAAAACGUACGGCACAUAAUGAGAGAUAGAGCCAUCAAAGAAGACGAAUGGAUGGACAGAAAAAGAUGGCGGUCGAAAUGCGAGAAGCGGCAGAGGCUGUAGGAACCUCUAGAAAUAGAUAGAUAGAUAGAUAGAUAGAUAGAUAGAUAGAUAGAUAGAUAUAUAGAUCGAUAGAUAGAUAGAUAGAUAGAUAGAUAUAUAGGGUGAAAAUAUAUUUUGGAAGUACCUCGUAUACAAAAAGUUAUCCACUCAAUGGACCGUGAUAGUCGUGACGUCAAAUCAAUGUUGGCUACUCUGAAAUGGUUUCCAAACAAAGUAAAAACUCACACAUGGUGUUUGUUUUCGUUUUUAUAAUUGAAAUCUAUUGCCUGUAGGAUGUUUAAUUUUUACAAAUUGGUAAUGUGUUGGGUAUCUACCCGUGAUUGUAUCAAUGAUCAUAGUAUAUUUCCCACCAUAUUUCCAAAUAAGACUGGUUAAAAACCUGAAGAAACACAGUAACUACUAUGUAGUGUGUAAAUCCUAGAUUUUGUGUAAGGGCAAUUUAUAAAAUUAAAAGCAAUAUGAUUGAUAUGACUAACAAGAAUUGUGUCUUUAGAAAAAAUGGGAAGAUGAUUGCUAAAACAAAAUAAAAUUAAAAAUGAUUACACAAAUCAUGUGUAUAUUCAAUUGACAGUUGCUUUGUUUGGAAACAAAAUGUUUUUUGACGUUUUGACUUCACACUAUCACUGUCCAUUAAGCUACCUAUAAAAACAAGUAUAUUCACUCUGAUAAAUUGUGAAUAUAAUGUACUAUUUAUGUACUAAAUGUUGUAAAUAGUAAUGUAUUUAAAAAUUCAUAGACAACAAACAUAUUCAUUUUGUGUGUUUAUUAUGCAAAACACAGAAAAUAAAUGUGUAGUGAUAAUAGAUACAUACAGGCGACCUCAAAACAUUAUCAAUUCGCAAAAACUAGAGAAACCCGAAUAGUAUCACAAUAAGUGCAACCAAAUAUGAUUGAACUUAUUGUAUAAAAAACUUGUUAAAAUUAUUGUCAAAAGUAACCUAAUUAAAACAAAAAUUUGAGGAUUUCUGAUAAAACGAAAAAUUAAAUUUUACUAAAGAAGAUGGAAGCUCAGAUAUAUACAUAAAACAAAUGGAAGACCAAAUCCUAGAAAAGACAGCCCAGAGACUAUGCCAGAAAGAUAAAACAAACAAUUAAUUAUGUUUGUUCAUUGGUGGACGUCUGUGGAAGAUUGUCAUUCCAUCCUCCAUCCCUUGCGUGAUCAGCCAACACUUCUUCCAUCACUUCGUGAUUUGUGCCUUUCUAGUUUAAUAACUCCUGUGUCUUUUUUUCUGUUUAAUGUUCGCACGUUUACUUUUACUUACAUUACAUUGCAUUAUAUUAAAUUUUGUUCUGAUCUAGUCACUCCUUAUUCGGUCUCUCAGCUUGUUUCUUGUACGUGAGGUACGUGAGGCACGUCC